GCACAAGAAAUUCACGUGAGUGUCGUUCAGUUUUGAAUUCACUGGAAAAUCAUACUAAGACUGAAUACACCACUCUUACCUUCACCUGCAUCUCACACAGCAAGAGGACACAGGUCUCGUUCAGUUUUCAUCUCCAUUCAGAAUCUUAUAGAUUUAUGCUGUCUUAAGUUUUCCUGUCUUCAAGUUUCCUGCCACUGUUUUGGAUAUUUUGGAUAUUGCACCUACGACGU